rnacentral:rRNA from 1 species
AUGUCGUGGAAUGUUAGAGGACUUAAUGUGCCGGCUAGACGAUCUGCGGUUAGAGAGGUGGCGUAGGCAAACAAGAUCUCAAUCCUAAACCUACAAGAAACUAAAAUAGAGGCUUGGACUUCUGAAAUGGCUUGCGACGUUGGGGGAAAUCUUCUGCAGGGCUGCGUGGUGCUUCCGGCAGCGGGCACAAGAGGGGGCGCGGCAAUCUUCUGGGACAAGCAGAUUGUCGACAUCACGGAUCAGAUCAUCGCUAGUUUCUCCAUCACUGCCAAGGUGCGGAUCAUCAACACCGGCCACUCGUUUUGGAUGACUACA